CCUACGGGUGGCAGCAGUGGGGAAUAUUGCUCAAUGGGCGAAACCCUGAUGCAGCGACGCCGCGUGCGUGAAGAAGUAUCUCGGUAUGUAAAGCUCUAUCAGCAGGGAAGAUAAUGACGGUACCUGACUAAGAAGCCCCGGCUAACUACGUGCCAGCAGCCGCGGUAAUACGUAGGGGGCAAGCGUUAUCCGGAUUUACUGGGUGUAAAGGGUGCGUAGGUGGCCGGGAAAGUCAGAUGUGAAAGCCCGGGGCUCAACCCCGGUACUGCAUUUGAAACUGUCCAGCUGGAGUGCAGGAGAGGUAAGCGGAAUGCCUGGUGUAGCGGUGAAAUGCGUAGAUAUUAGGAAGAACACCGGUGGCGAAGGCAGCUUACUGGACUGUAACUGACACUGAGGCACGAAAGCGUGGGGAGCAAACAGGAUUAGAUACCCUUGUAGUC
rnacentral:rRNA from 1 species